rnacentral:rRNA from 1 species
AUUGAACGCUGGCGGCAUGCCUUACACAUGCAAGUCGAACGGUAACGGGUCCUCCGGGAUGCCGACGAGUUGCGAACGGGUUAGUAAUAUAUCGUAACUUGCCCAGUAGUGGGGGAUAACUGCUCGAAAGAGCAGCUAAUACCGCAUACGACCUGAGGGUGAAAUGGGGGGAUCGCAAGACCUCUCGCUAUUGGCGCGGCCGGUAUCAGAUUAGCUAGUUGGUGGGGUAAAGGCCUACCAAGGCAAAGAUCUGGAGUUGGUCUGAGAGGACGAACAGCCACACUGGGACUGAGAAACGGCCCAGACUCCUACGGUAGGCAGCAGUGGGGAAUUUUGGACAAUGGGCGCAAGCCUGAUCCAGCAAUGCCGCGUGCAGGAAGAAGGCCUUCGGGUUGUAAACUGCUUUUGUCAGGGAAGAAAUCUUCUGGGCUAAUACCCCGGGAGGAUGACGGUACCUGAAGAAUAAGCACCGGCUAACUACGUGCCAGCCGCCGCGGUAA